GCUCCGAUAGCACAACUGGAUAGUGCAUCUCCCUUCUAAGGAGAGGGUUUCAGGUUCGAGUCCUGAUCGGAGUA
rnacentral:tRNA from 1 species